rnacentral:rRNA from 1 species
CUAGGGAGGGGGUUAGCGUUGUUCGGAAUUACUGGGCGUAAAGCGCACGUAGGCGGACUGGAAAGUUGGGGGUGAAAUCCCGGGGCUCAACCCCGGAACUGCCUCCAAAACUUCCAAUCUAGAGAUCGAGAGAGGUGAGUGGAAUUCCAAGUGUAGAGGUGAAAUUCGUAGAUAUUUGGAGGAACACCAGUGGCGAAGGCGGCUCACUGGCUCGAUACUGACGCUGAGGUACGAAAGCGUGGGGAGCAAACAGGAUUAGAAACCCUAGUAGUCC